CUCUUAUUAUGAGGGAAUAGCACUUAGGACUUAAGGUCCAGGAGCUGUGUGUUCACUCCUGGUGGCUGCCACUGUUUCUAGGCCUUUUUAGCAGGCAGAGCCAGGGAACACAAAAGCAGGACCAUCCCUCCAACCGUCCACACACCCUUGAGACUAUGGCAUCACACUGAUGCCUUUCAGGUUCUUCUUGCCCUUCUCCCUUUCCUCCGGAUUUUCUUUCCCAACAGUGAGAGCACGACUGCCAAGGUCACGCACAUAAUCACUCUCUGCUCAAUCUUAAAGAUACAGAGAGUAGUUUCUGAAUUGCCACACCCAUACCAAUGAGAAAAAUCAUCUUCUAAGAUUCCAAAUUUGCUUGUACUUGAGGGAAUAUGUGCAGAGUUCCUUGUUAACAGAUUGCUUGUACUAUUGUCUUGUGAUUCAUUUGAAGGAAGUUAAGCUUAUCUGUUUGGUUUAUAUGCAGUUUUAGAAUUUUUCCACAUCCUUAUCGAUUUGUUUUUGUUGUUGAUGUUGCAGCUGCCGUUUGAGGGUUUUUUGGGUUUUGGUUUUUGUGAGGUUUUAAAGUUGUUUAUUUUAGUUUUAUUUUAUGUGAAUAGGUGUUCUUUCUACAUGUGUGUCUGUACAUCAUGUGUAUGUUGGUUUGCUAGGAAUUGAACCCAGGUCCUUCAGAAGAGCAUCCAGUGCUCUUAACCCCUGAGUCAUCUCUCCAUCCCCUUUGUCUUCUGCUUUUGUUAAGCAAGGUCUGUUGUGGCCUAGACUGUCCUGAGACUUGGUUCAUAAUUAAGGAUGACCUUGAACUUGUGAUCCUCCUGCCUCUGCCUGAGUGCAGGGAUCACAGACAUUUGCUGCCACAUUGGGCGUUGUGUGGUUCUGGAGAUAGAAACGAGGGUUUCCUGCGUGCUAGACAAGCACUCUGCCGACGGGACCGCUUCCACUUGUAUUUUUUAAGUAUGUAAAACAUUAAUGUAAUUAAAGUCAAAGCAUAAAAAUAAGGAUACAGAGGCUGGGAAGAUGGCUGCUCAGUGGUUGAGAGCAUUGGCUGCUCUUCCAGAGGACAGGAUCUCAAUUCUCAGCAUCCACAAAGCACUCACAAGGCUCCCAGGGCAUCCAAGGCCCUCUCCUGGCCUCCAUGGGCAGUGAACGCAUGCAAUGUACAGACAUACAUUCAGACAAACACUUAAAAUAAAAAUAAAUAAUAAAAAGAGUCCUCGGGAAAUUAUAACUCCCCUUUGUCCCUUUUGUCUAUGUACUACACACGUUAGAUGACUCCAUCCAUCCCUGACUCACCUUCCUGUAUUUCUCUUUUAAA
rnacentral:lncRNA from 1 species